rnacentral:rRNA from 1 species
UACAGAGGUCUCAAGCGUUGUCCGGAUUUAUUGGGCGUAAAGGGUGCGUAGGUGGCGCGCUAAGUCGGGUGUGAAAUUUCGGAGCUUAACUCCGAAACUGCAUUCGAUACUGGUGUGCUUGAGGACUGGAGAGGAGACUGGAAUUCAUGGUGUAGCAGUGAAAUGCGUAGAGAUCAUGAGGAAGACCAGUGGCGAAGGCGGGUCUCUGGACAGUUCCUGACACUGAGGCACGAAGGCCAGGGGAGCAAACGGG